GAUUUCUAACACCUCCCUGCUGUGUAUCGCAUUUCUGCUGAUGUGUGGUGCUUCCUAAGAUGGGGACGUUAAGCACGCAGCAACUACAGUCAUUUGUUCUCAGAGUUACAGGUGAGUACAGCUAACCAACACAGAUGAAAGUCAGCCACAGGAAGCAGUGCAUGGACCAGUCCAGAGGGGUUCCAAACAUGGAGCUGCUGGCGUGCCCUCUGGUGGAUGGUGGGCAGCCUUAGUUCUCAGAUGAAUGGAGAAAUGAAACUGGCUUUUGAAAUGAUGUUUCUGUGCAAUAUGUCCACAGUAUUUGGAAACCUAGAAUAAGGAUUUAAUGGUAAGCAGGGUCACUUAGCCUUAGAUGUACAUUGCUUGGUUCUUUUGCUAUUGCCAUUUUCUUCUUUUAUUCUUACUCUGUGUGACAUUUCAGCUUCGUUAAGGAUUAAACAUGUUAAAAGUAAUUGCAAAAACCACAGUUACUUUUGCACCAACCUAAUACUUUACUUGAUGGUUAAUUUAUCUCAAUUAGAUAAACAUUUUCCCCAGGUUUCUUUUCCAAUAAACAAAUUUAUCCAAGAGUGCCAACGCACAAAAUUAACCAGUUCUGAAUUGAUUCGUGAUAACAGUGCCAGAUCCAGGCCUUCCCCAGGGAAGCAGUCUCCUCUCUGGUACCCUCCCCAGUCACAGUGCAAAUCCUGACUGAAUCUCCAGUCAACACCUCUCUCUUGGCCACAGAAAUGGAGACAUCUUUCACCAGUCGCAAGGCUCCGUCCAAGGACAGCAGGGAGGGCUCCUCCUUCUGUGUGUUCUUUACACCAACCCGGGCAUCUGGCAGGGGCCAGAGCAGCCCUAAAGGAGUCUCUCUGGGAGGUCUCCACCAGGUCAAUGCUCCCUGCCCUUCUUCAUCAAAGGCUCUGAUGGUGAUGCAAGCUUAGCAUGAAAAGAAGCACCCGGAAAACAGGAUCAUAGACAGUGUUGCAGGAAUGGCCCCUGCAGUCAGGACCUUAUUAAUGGAAUAUUUAUGCAUCUUCAAUCUUGCUUCAAUAAUCUUUGUCAGGGCAAGACAGUCUCCACAAAAACCACUGCGUCCAGUGAUUGCUGAGUCUGUUAAUUUCUAACACUUGGGGCUGUCCUGGCUGUACAUUGACAACCUUUCACUCAGUGUCUGAAGCGACCGUUGAAAACUCUUCUCCAGCAAUUGUCAAUAUAUAUCUCUGCUGAAAUCACAAGGCACAAAGGGGCAACUGCAAAGGGGUUGCAGCACUGUAUGGUUCCAUCCUCUUGGGUCCUGAGUACCUGGCUGCAAAGGACAACACCCCACAGCUGUGCCUGUGACAGCCAUUAGAAUUCCUGCUGUCUCACAGUGAGAUGGAGGCCCCUAGACAAGCAUUCCUAAGUGCUCCAGUCAUGGUAUUCAUCAUUAGCUGGACUGAUUCCUUCUCCUCAGAUAAACCACAGGCCAUGAAAGCAGGUAAUGUAUAGACCAUGAUACAAUGCAAAGGGCUGUUCUAGAGGUAUGUACCAGGUACAGUGUCACUACCUAAGGGGGAAGCAUCGAUUCUGUGUGUGAAAGUUAGGGAAGGAGCACAGAGAGGGAGAUUCCUCAGUUCAGUUUUGAACGAUGAGCAGAAGCUUGCAUCUUUGCAAAUGAAAACAUACAGGUCUGUGCAGAAGCACCUUGAUCCAUGAAAUGCAAGCACUUUCACAUGUCAUGUAUGGAGAAUCUGAGAGAAAGCACAGAGAGAAAUGAGGCUGGGGUGCCAGAGGCCAGCCCGUGGAGGAGCUUGAAUAUAUCAGCUGAAAGGAGGUUGGCAUCAUCUUACAGUCAAUGGAGAGCCAAUUAAAGGUUUCAAUGGGGGCAGGAUUAUAAUGAAGCUGCUGAUUAAACAAAAGAAAAUAUGCCAUAUGAACACCAAAGAUGUCUUCUUAAAUCCAAAUGCAUUUUUUUAAAACCAACAUUCAUUUACCCCUAUCUCUGAGUCAGGCCAAGAGGUACAGCAAACCGCACCAGAGAGUGAAGCCCAUUGCCUGAAGGGCCUCACUUUCUAAACUUUGGGGGAUCUGACAAGGAAUAAGGGGCAGGUUUCCUAUUAACUUCUUUAAUUAGCAGACAGCCUCAUCUCUGAACUUUGCUAACAGCCACAAGAGAAUAACUGUGUUUCUAGAGAACCCACCACUUCCUGCUCCUAGCUCAGAUGUCGUGAGUAAUGGCCUCCCACCUGUGUCUGUGAAGUGUCUUUCCUGUUUUAGGCUGCAGCCAAUCCCUUGGCUCUCUGUGGUAUCCCACAGCCUGCAUGGUAUCGCCUUAAUUUGGUUAGGUUCCCAGAUCCCAAAGAAAGAAAAAGUUUUGCAGCCUGUGGUUGGUGAUAUCAGACCCACAACUAGACUUCCCCUGGGAACAGGCCACUGAGCUGGGAUUCUAGGCCUUUAAUAUUUUCACAGCAUCACACUGCAAGCUUUCUCAUGGUAUUAAGUUUCUGUGGGAUUGAUGAUCGUUUGCAACAAUCCUAGUUACCUACCUGUGACUAAAUGUUUCAGCUCUGCCCUAGUCUAGGAUGGCAAUGAACCCAUCAUGCUUGGUCUUGGAUCUAAUGUGUAAUUAAAUUUUAGUCUAAAUGUUAUAAUUGGAAUUUUUUUUAAAAACCAGCUGUGAACUCCAAAAGACAGUAUAGAACGGUAAUACCAUCCCAUUCUCAUUCUCUCCCCAUGUUAUCUCUCCAAAUCCAGAACUCAGACAAAUAAAUACAGUUUCCAUAGAGAGGGUAUUUUUCUGUUUUGAUUUGUGGAGUCCAGGUUUCAAAAAUGCUCCAAGUUUCUUACAAUCUAUUUUCCCCUUUCUGUCUGCCUGUCUGUUUGAGAAUCCAUGAUUUGCUCCGAGUAAAGGAUGCUAUCACAAUUGUGAAAUCUUAAAUUACCUUUGCUUGGCAGUAAUCAAGAUGGCAGUAGUAACAUAUUAAGAAUGUUCUCCCAGUGGCAGUGAAAAGAAUGCGUUUUCAAACAAGGGCUUGCAAAUACGAGGACUUACUAUGCCAAAGUUGUGUGGAAUUGGGGAUGAGAUUUUCUUAUUUCUGGAUGUGGCAUUAGGCCCUUAUUGAGAUGCCAAAAUGGAUUGCACAUCUACCAAGCAUCAGACACUUUGCAGGGGGCUUUGAACAUAGUGUCUAAUUUAAUUGUGCUAACAAAACUGCAGUGCAGGUAUUACUAUGCUUCUUUUAAAGGGAUAUCCCUUGAGGCAGUUAAGGAACAUUCCUGAGAUUAUAUUGGGGUGAGCUAGGAUUUGAACCCAAUCUGACCUCAAAAGCCAUAAUUUUCUAUUUCACUGGUGUUUUUGCUUCUUUUUGUUGUUGCUGUUGUUUUGUUUUGUUUUCCGUUUCAGAGAUAGCAAUCCGUGUUUCCAGGCAAAGACAUUGAGUUCUGAGGACACAAGGAAGUUCACCAGAUAAAUGUUGAGGGAGGGGCCUGGUGGAAGAUGACUGGAUUAUGGGGGAGGAUUCCCCCAUGCUGUUCUCAUGAUUUUGCUCUGUCACUCAGGCUGCAGUGCAGUGGAUCACCAUAG